AGGGCAGACGGUGGAUGCCUUGGCUCUCGGAGGCGACGAAGGACGUGAUAAGCUGCGAUAAGCUACGGGGAUCGGCACAUACGAUUUGAUCCGUAGAUUUCCGAAUGGGGCAACCCGGCAUGUAGAAGACAUGUCACACUGCAGAGCAGUGAGCGAACGUGGGGAACUGAAACAUCUAAGUACCCAUAGGAGAAGAAAACAAAAGUGAUUCCCUUAGUAGUGGCGAGCGAACGGGGAACAGCCCAAACCAGAUUUGUUUCGGCAAAACUGGGGUUGUAGGACCUCGACAUAGGAAGACAAGAUUAGGAGAACGGUCUGGAAAGGCCGGCCAUAGAACAUGACAGCUGUGUAUCCGAAAAUCUUCGUUGGACUUAGAGGUAUCCUGAGUAGCGCGGGACACGUGAAAUCCUGUGUGAAUCUGCGGGGCCCAUCCCGUAAGGCUAAAUACUCCCGAGAGACCGAUAGUGAACCAGUACCGUGAGGGAAAGGUGAAAAGAACCUCGAACAGAGGAGUGCAAUAGAUCCUGAACCCGUCUGCCUACAAGCGGUAGGAGCAGCUUCGAGCUGUGACUGCGUGCCUUUUGCAUAAUGAACCUACGAGUUACUUUCUCUGGCAAGGUUAAGUGAUGAAGAGUCACGUGAGCCGAAGCGAAAGCGAGUCUGAAUAGGGCGAAUUAGUCAGAGGGAGUAGACGCGAAACCAAGUGAUCUACCCUUGGUCAGGUUGAAGGUUGGGUAAAACCAACUGGAGGACCGCACCGGUAAGCGUUGAAAAGCUUUCGGAUGAACUGAGGGUAGGGGUGAAAGGCUAAUCAAACUUGGAGAUAGCUCGUACUCCCCGAAAUGCAUUUAGGUGCAGCCUCGGGUAAGGUACUGAUGAGAGGUAGAGCGACUGAUUGGAUGCGAGGGCUUCACCGCCUAUCAAGUCCGGCCAAACUCCGAAUGCUCAUCAGCAACAUCCCGGGAGUGAGGGCAUGGGUGCUAAGGUCCAUGUCCGAGAGGAGAAGAAUCCAGAUCACCGGCUAAGGUCCCCAAAUAGCAGCUAAGUUGCAUUAACGAAGUCCGACCGCAGCGACAGCCAGGAUGUUGGCUUGGAAGCAGCCAUUCAUUUAAAGAGUGCGUAACAGCUCACUGGUCGAGGGGUCGGGCAUGGAUAAUAAUCGGGCAUAAGCUGUUUACCGAAGCCGUGAGAUCAAAAAGAUCGGUAGGGGAGCAUUCCAUUAUCAGCGUUGAAGAUGAGAGGUGACUCUUGUUGGAGCGGAUGGAAAAGCAAAUGCAGGUAUAAGUAACGAUAAAGGGGGUGAAAAACCUCCUCGCCGAAAGACCAAGGGUUCCUGAUCAACGCUAAUCGGAUCAGGGUUAGUCGGGACCUAAGGCUAAGCCGAAGGGCGAUGCCGAUGGAAGAACCGGUUAAUAUUCCGGUACUGCUUUGUGGAGUGAUGUGGAGACGGAGAAGUGACAGCUCGGCCAUCUGACGGAAUAGGUGGUUGAAGGGUGUAGACGUUGAUUGUUGUAGGCAAAUCCGCAACAAGAGUUGAACCUGACAGUAUGCAGCGUACUUGUACAAUGUAAUAAGAGCGUAAUCAGGCUCCCAAGAAAACCCGCUAAACAUAUCUUCAAAGCACCCGUACUCGAAACGGACACACGUGGUCGGGUUGAAAAUACUAAGGCGCUCGAGUGAUUCACGGUUAAGGAACUAGGCAAAAUGGUCCUGUAACUUCGGGAUAAAGGACGCCAAUAGCAAUAUUGGUCGCAGAGAAUAGGCCCAGGCGACUGUUUAACAAAAACACAUGACUAUGCGAAAUCGAAAGAUGAGGUAUAUGGUCUGACACCUGCCCGGUGCUGGAAGGUUAAGAGGAGAUGUCAUCCUGUAAGGGAGAAGCAUUGAAUUGAAGCCCCAGUAAACGGCGGCCGUAACUAUAACGGUCCUAAGGUAGCGAAAUUCCUUGUCGGGUAAGUUCCGACCUGCACGAAUGGUGUAACGAUCUGGGCACUGUCUCAACUGUGAGCUCGGUGAAAUUGUAGUAUCGGUGAAGAUGCCGAUUACCCGCGAUGGGACGAAAAGACCCCGUGAACCUUUACUAUAGCUUUACAUUGAAAUUGGGCAUGCGAUGUGUAGGAUAGGCCGGAGGCUAAGAAGCGGUGACGCCAGUCAUCGUGGAGCCGCUGUUGAAAUACGGCCCUUUGUGUGUUUGGUUUCUAACUCCCGGGAAAGGGAGGACGGUGUAUGGUGGGUAGUUUGACUGGGGUGGUCGCCUCCAAAAGCGUAACGGAGGCUUCU
rnacentral:rRNA from 1 species